rnacentral:rRNA from 1 species
GAUGAACGCUAGCGGGAGGCCUAACACAUGCAAGCCGAGCGGUAUUUGUUCUUCGGAACAGAGAGAGCGGCGCACGGGUGCGGAACACGUGUGCAACCUGCCUUUAUCUGGGGGAUAGCCUUUCGAAAGGAAGAUUAAUACCCCAUAAUAUAUUGAGUGGCAUCACUUGAUAUUGAAAACUCCGGUGGAUAGAGAUGGGCACGCGCAAGAUUAGAUAGUUGGUGAGGUAACGGCUCACCAAGUCAAUGAUCUUUAGGGGGCCUGAGAGGGUGAUCCCCCACACUGGUACUGCGACACGGACCAGACUCCUACGGGAGGCAGCAGUGAGGAAUAUUGGACAAUGGGUUAGCGCCUGAUCCAGCCAUCCCGCGUGAAGGACGACGGCCCUAUGGGUUGUAAACUUCUUUUGUAUAGGGAUAAACCUACUCUCGUGAGAGUAGCUGAAGGUACUAUACGAAUAAGCACCGGCUAACUCCGUG